UACGGAGGGGACUAGCGUUGUUCGGAAUUACUGGGCGUAAAGCGCACGUAGGCGGAUUUGUAAGUCAGGGGUGAAAUCCCGGGGCUCAACCUCGGAACUGCCUUUGAUACUGCAAAUCUCGAGUCCGGAAGAGGUGAGUGGAAUUCCUAGUGUAGAGGUGAAAUUCGUAGAUAUUAGGAAGAACACCAGUGGCGAAGGCGGCCUACUGGUCCGGCACUGACGCUGAGGUGCGAAAGCGUGGGGAGCAAACAGG
rnacentral:rRNA from 1 species